GAUGAACGCUGGCGGCGUGCCUAAUACAUGCAAGUCGAGCGAACGGACGAGAAGCUUGCUUCUCUGAUGUUAGCGGCGGACGGGUGAGUAACACGUGGAUAACCUACCUAUAAGACUGGGAUAACUUCGGGAAACCGGAGCUAAUACCGGAUAAUAUUUUGAACCGCAUGGUUCAAAAGUGAAAGACGGUCUUGCUGUCACUUAUAGAUGGAUCCGCGCUGCAUUAGCUAGUUGGUAAGGUAACGGCUUACCAAGGCAACGAUGCAUAGCCGACCUGAGAGGGUGAUCGGCCACACUGGAACUGAGACACGGUCCAGACUCCUACGGGAGGCAGCAGUAGGGAAUCUUCCGCAAUGGGCGAAAGCCUGACGGAGCAACGCCGCGUGAGUGAUGAAGGUCUUCGGAUCGUAAAACUCUGUUAUUAGGGAAGAACAUAUGUGUAAGUAACUGUGCACAUCUUGACGGUACCUAAUCAGAAAGCCACGGCUAACUACGUGCCAGCAGCCGCGGUAAUACGUAGGUGGCAAGCGUUAUCCGGAAUUAUUGGGCGUAAAGCGCGCGUAGGCGGUUUUUUAAGUCUGAUGUGAAAGCCCACGGCUCAACCGUGGAGGGUCAUUGGAAACUGGAAAACUUGAGUGCAGAAGAGGAAAGUGGAAUUCCAUGUGUAGCGGUGAAAUGCGCAGAGAUAUGGAGGAACACCAGUGGCGAAGGCGACUUUCUGGUCUGUAACUGACGCUGAUGUGCGAAAGCGUGGGGAUCAAACAGGAUUAGAUACCCUGGUAGUCCACGCCGUAAACGAUGAGUGCUAAGUGUUAGGGGGUUUCCGCCCCUUAGUGCUGCAGCUAACGCAUUAAGCACUCCGCCUGGGGAGUACGACCGCAAGGUUGAAACUCAAAGGAAUUGACGGGGACCCGCACAAGCGGUGGAGCAUGUGGUUUAAUUCGAAGCAACGCGAAGAACCUUACCAAAUCUUGACAUCCUUUGACAACUCUAGAGAUAGAGCCUUCCCCUUCGGGGGGCAAAGUGACAGGUGGUGCAUGGUUGUCGUCAGCUCGUGUCGUGAGAUGUUGGGUUAAGUCCCGCAACGAGCGCAACCCUUAAGCUUAGUUGCCAUCAUUAAGUUGGGCACUCUAAGUUGACUGCCGGUGACAAACCGGAGGGAGGUGGGGAUGACGUCAAAUCAUCAUGCCCCUUAUGAUUUGGGCUACACACGUGCUACAAUGGACAAUACAAAGGGCAGCGAAACCGCGAGGUCAAGCAAAUCCCAUAAAGUUGUUCUCAGUUCGGAUUGUAGUCUGCAACUCGACUACAUGAAGCUGGAAUCGCUAGUAAUCGUAGAUCAGCAUGCUACGGUGAAUACGUUCCCGGGUCU
rnacentral:rRNA from 1 species